AUUGCUUCUCGGCCUUUUGGCUAAGAUCAAGUGUAGUAUCUAAUCUUUUUGAUAUAUAAUAGAUAUCUCAUACAUUACAUGGUUUGAGGACUCUUG
rnacentral:snRNA from 1 species